UGCGUAGGUGGUUGUUUAAGUCUGUCGUGAAAGCCCUGGGCUCAACCUGGGAAUUGCGAUGGAUACUGGGCAACUAGAGUGUGGUAGAGGAUAGUGGAAUUUCCGGUGUAGCAGUGAAAUGCGUAGAGAUCGGAAGGAACAUCUGUGGCGAAGGCGACUAUCUGGGCCAACACUGACACUGAGGCACGAAAGCGUGGGAGCAAACA
rnacentral:rRNA from 1 species